GGCGUGCCUAAUACAUGCAAGUGGGACGCAAGGGAACACACUGUGCUUGCACACCGUGUUUUCUUGAGUCGCGAACGGGUGAGUAACGCGUAGGUAACCUGCCUAUUAGCGGGGAUAACUAUUGGAAACGAUAGCUAAUACCGCAUAAUAUUAAUUAUUGCAUGAUAAUUGAUUGAAAGAUGCAAGCGCAUCACUAGUAGAUGGACCUGCGUUGUAUUAGCUAGUUGGUAAGGUAAGAGCUUACCAAGGCGACGAUACAUAGCCGACCUGAGAGGGUGAUCGGCCACACUGGGACUGAGACACGGCCCAGACUCCUACGGGAGGCAGCAGUAGGGAAUCUUCGGCAAUGGACGAAAGUCUGACCGAGCAACGCCGCGUGAGUGAAGAAGGUUUUCGUAUCGUAAAGCUCUGUUGUAAGUCAAGAACGUGUGUGAGAGUGGAAAGUUCACACAGUGACGGUAGCUUACCAGAAAGGGACGGCUAACUAC
rnacentral:rRNA from 1 species